CACGUAGGGUGCAAGCGUUGUCCGGAAUCAUUGGGCGUAAAGAGCUCGUAGGCGGUGUGUCACGUCGGCCGUGAAAACCUGCAGCUUAACUGUGGGCGUGCGGUCGAUACGGGCAUCACUGGAGUUCGGCAGGGGAGACUGGAAUUCCUGGUGUAGCGGUGAAAUGCGCAGAUAUCAGGAGGAACACCGGUGGCGAAGGCGGGUCUCUGGGCCGAUACUGACGCUGAGGAGCGAAAGCGUGGGGAGCAAACAGG
rnacentral:rRNA from 1 species